GCGCCUGUGGCUCAACUGGAUAGAGCAUCUGACUUCGGAUCAGACGGUUGGGGGUUCGAGUCCCUCCAGGCGUG
rnacentral:tRNA from 1 species